rnacentral:rRNA from 1 species
CGCGAAUCGCCCUUCGGGGUGCACCAGGCGCGAAAACUUUACAAUGCCGGCAACGGCGAUAAGGGGACCUCGAGUGCCAGGUUACAAAUCUGGCUGUCGUGAUGCCUAAAAAGCAUUGCAUAGCAAGGGCCGGGCAAGACCGGUGCCAGCCGCCGCGGUAACACCGGCGGCUCGAGUGGUAACCGUUAUUAUUGGGUCUAAAGGGUCUGUAGCCGGCCGGAUAAGUCUCUUGGGAAAUCCAGCAGCUCAACUGUUGGGCUUUCAGGAGAUACUGUCUGGCUCGAGGCCGGGAGAGGUGAGAGGUACUUCAGGGGUAGGGGUGAAAUCUUGUAAUCCUUGAAGGACCACCAGUGGCGAAGGCGUCUCACCAGAACGGACCUGACGGCAAGGGACGAAAGCUAGGGGCACGAACCGGAUUAGAUACCCGGGUAGUCCUAGCCGUAAACGAUACUCGCUAGGUGUCGGCCACGGUGCGACCGUUGUCGGUGCCGUAGGGAAGCCGUGAAGCGAGCCACCUGGGAAGUACGGCCGCAAGGCUGAAACUUAAAGGAAUUGGCGGGGGAGCAC